rnacentral:pre_miRNA from 1 species
CAAAUACUCCCUCCGUCCGGAAAUACUUGUCAUCAAAAUGGAUAAAAGGAAAUGUAUCUAGACGUAUUUUAGUUUUAGAUACAUUUCUUUUUAUCCAUUUUGAUGACAAGUAUUUUCGGACGGAGGGAGUAGAAA